GGGUUGUGAGGUUAAGCGACCAAGCGUACACGGUGGAUGCCCUGGCAGUCAGAGGCGAUGAAGGGCGUGCUAAUCUGCGAUAAGCGCCGGUAAGGUGAUAUGAACCGUUAUAACCGGCGAUACCCGAAUGGGGAAACCCAGUGUGUUUCGACACACUAUCAUUAACUGAAUCCAUAGGUUAAUGAGGCGAACCGGGGGAACUGAAACAUCUAAGUACCCCGAGGAAAAGAAAUCAACCGAGAUUCCCCCAGUAGCGGCGAGCGAACGGGGAGGAGCCCAGAGCCUGAAUCAGCAUGUGUGUUAGUGGAAGCGUCUGGAAAGGCGCGCGAUACAGGGUGACAGCCCCGUACACAAAAGCGCACGUACUGUGAGCUCGAUGAGUAGGGCGGGACACGUGGUAUCCUGUCUGAAUAUGGGGGGACCAUCCUCCAAGGCUAAAUACUCCUGACUGACCGAUAGUGAACCAGUACCGUGAGGGAAAGGCGAAAAGAACCCCGGCGAGGGGAGUGAAACAGAACCUGAAACCGUGUACGUACAAGCAGUGGGAGC
rnacentral:rRNA from 1 species